CCAAAGGCUCUUUUAAGAGCCACUACAUACACAACAAAAAGAGCUUU
rfam:Pterocles gutturalis contig30876, whole genome shotgun sequence.